UGUUCAUGGCAUAAAAUUUGCUGUACGAAAAUUAUUGUCUGAAUUAAGGGCGUAACAUUAACAGAGUUUUCACUGUUAUUUAUUUUAUAGGGCUUUAGACUUUUUAAAUGUGGUAGCAGUUUUAUGGUUCUUAUAUUAGAUAACUCCGGAAAAAAAGAUAUAUGCAUAUUUAUAUCAUAUACAAUCUUAAAUGUUAUUCGAUAUGCAUAUCUUUGGAAACAAUUGUUAAACAUAUCGAUAAAUGUUGCUUGUUCAUUAUUAAGAUCUAGUUAAUAUUUCUGUUGCUUGAGAUUUAAACUAGCAUAUAAGCGCUAAUGACUUAUGUUGGCAACUAAGUAAGAACAAACGCACAAAUGGCAAUUUAUGUUGUAACUUUUUAUGAAGUCAGUUCUUAAAAAAAGAGAUACACAAAAAAUCACAAACUGUUUAUUUAUGAGAGGUUGAGAUGUAAAUACUCUGAAAGGUUAUUUAUGAAAUUGCGCCUUGAUAACAAUGGCUUUUAAGAAAAGUCUUUUUGUUUACUUGCUGAAGCACUUGAUUAAAGAAAAUGGAUAUAUAAUUUGUUUUUGUGUUAUUGAUUGUUUUAUUCAAUUUGUUAACCCUUUCAUCAAGAACUUUAUAUUAUGGUUUGACUAAUUGAUAAGUAUAGGACUGUGUUGUAUUAUUUUGUUGGAAGUAUUCAGUCUACCCUUUAUUUGUUGAAAAAGUGUUUACAAUGAAUUUCCCAUUUUCUUCCAAUUUGAGAUACAAUUUAGCAUUGAUUUAUCUCUUAACAAAUAAUUAUACUAUGACAUCAUUUAUUUCUUUGUUUUACGCCAUGUUGUGUGUUAAUUUACACAUUUUUGUUUUAAUGAGUAUUUUUUAUCUUUUUAAAUGUGGACCAAUUUUGAAGACCACCUGUAUUCUUUUAAGUGUUAUUUGCUUUGUUUUGUAGUUAUAGAAUACAUAAGUGCUAUGUUAUAUUUAUAUAUUCUUCUUGAUCUUAGCUGGGGUUAAAGUGUCUUUGACAGAGUUGAAUGGAAAUAAUAUUUGUACAUAUGCCUCUUGAACACCUAAUGCAUAGGAAAAAGUCUUUUCCCAAAUGCUUUAAAAAAGAGGUACUUUUUUUUUUGCUUACAUCCCAAAAGUCAAAGUCUUUCAACUAGUGCAAAUGGUGUGAUUUUCGUUUUGUUUUAAACAUAUAAAACUAAGAAUUUAAGUCAUAGUUUGGCAAGAAAACUAUUCUUAGAUUCAGAGAUUAAAAAAUUAAUAUUUAGUGUAAACAAAUAGCACUUAAUGAAAAUAAUUGUGAUUGUGAACUGUUUCUAGGUAGUACCAUUUUCUACUAUUUUUAGAAGGAGCAAUCUAAACCGUGGUUUUGUGUGCUUCGUACUUGAAAAGGUUUGCUUACCUUUCUUUUGGCUGUCUAUUUAGGUUAAUAUGAUAUAUAUUUUCUUCAGAUUUACACAGAAUAGAUAAAUGGAGUUUGUAUUUUUUAUAAGGGGGAUUUUCUGUGUAACAUAUAACACUGUUAUUCCUAUAGAUAUCCAUGAUUUCUUUUAGAAUCUCUUCGUUUCGAAACAUGACCUGUUUUACGCUAUGACAACUUCAUACCAUAGAGCAUAAUUUUGUUUGUUAUUUUAUGGUAAACAGUUCAAAAGAAUCGAUUCCGUCCGCGUGUAAAAAUAGUCUCAAGAACAUUUUUCAAAGUUCAUUUAUCGUUCAUUUCAUCUGGCAAUAGGCUGCCAAUAAUCACCAGACGCCAGUGUGUUUUAUCAUUGGUUCAAUUGUACCUUGCACUGUUUCAUCAGUACAUGUAUCAUCAGUAUGUGUUUUCACUUUGAAAUAUCAUCUUUUAUCAAAAAUGGUGCACAUUUCAGGAGCCCUUUACAAUAACAAAUAUCGCUUCGUUUGUUUGUACCGCCUGUUUACAUGAGAUUUUUUUAUUGUCUCACUCUUCCAAGCUGUUACUAUUUUACUUCUCUACCAUUGAAGUAUUAUUUCCAUGCUGCACCCCACAAAGGAAUAACGCUUUCAUGGUAAAAAAUCUGCUCCAACAUUGCACAAACAUGCUUUUUAUACUUAACAUUAGAAUAAAAGUGCUGUAAUGCAUUACCAUGCAUACCCUUUUGUAAUGUGUGAUCAAUGUUAACAUAUUAUCGCCCAAUUGAUGCCAAGAGGUACCAUGUGACAUUUAAUUGUAAUGUCACAUGGUACCUUUUUGCACCAAUGGGGUGAUAUCUGAGUCUUAUUCUGGUCUUUGCUAAUUAAGAUGGCAUCACAACUAACUGAAGCGUUUACAUGCAUUAUGACAAAGCAUUGUGUUGGCUAAAGAAGAAGAUGUUGAUUAUGUAUUUAUUCUGCAAACAACUCAUUUUCAAGGAAUUUGUUUUAAUACCUGCAAACCCAGCUAAUAUUGUUUCAUCCUUACAAAAUGCGAUGUUGUUACAGAUUUGUUCAAGAAGUGUUGUCUCUGGAAAGGGGAGGCAUGACAUCUACGUCACAGUAUUUUGUUUUCUUUUAAUCUGGACAUUUUCUAGUAAGGUCUUUGUACAAUUUUCUCUUUUUUGUUGUUUUAAAUGAAUCUUUUUUAUUGUUAUUGAAUUUGUUGAUUUUUAUGGAAAGUGUGACUUCUGCUAAAUGUUGAAAAGCUUUUUCAUUUAGCAUCUUUUUAUUGCUAAAUAUAUGACAUUUUGUUAAGGCAACAUAACAAAUAUUCUGUUUUGUAAUAGUUUCUAGUAAUAACAAUCUAAAAGGUUGUAAAGGUUUGUCAUUAUUACUGUUUGGUAUUAAUUCACACAAGUUAACAGAAUAGUUUAAUCUCCAAGUAUUUUUAAAUUUUUCAAAAUUUCGCUUAAUUUGUUGUUCUUUCUUUUUCAUUGCUUAGUGAUCCACAUUGGUGAGCAAUGCCUUUUAGUACAUCAUAGUAUGGUCUAAAAUGUGUAGGAUUUCUCGGUAUUUCAUUGUCAAUAUUUUUCAAUAGGUACUAUUUUGUACUAUUUUAUUGUCAAUAUCUUUCAAGUAUGUACUAUUUUGUACUAUUUCAUUGUCAAUAUCUUUCAAGUAGGUACUUUUCUGUACUAUUUCAUUGUCAAUAUUUUUCAAGUAGGUACUAUUUUGUUCUAUUUCAUUGUCAAUAUCUUUCAAGUAGGUACUACUCUGUACUAUUUCAUUGUCAAUAUUUUUCAAGUAGGUACUGUUUUGUACUAUUUCAUUGAAUCAAAUUCUUUGCAUGGCAUUUUUUACGCUUCACUCCCCACCUUACAUUAUAACCCACUCAGAGAAAAAUGAUCUUUUAUAUUUCAAUUACAUUCCAUAGAACUUUUUCUCAUGGUUUCAUUUCAUUGAGCCAGAAGGGUUCAUAGUAAUACUUCAUGAUAAGCACACAGAUUUGUAAUUGUAUAAUUUCAUACAUUGUCAUUGCCAUUACAGAAUUGGUAUAUAUAAGUCAUCAUGUUUCCUCCAUUUCAUAACUCAUACUUCGAGGACAUUUUGUAUAACCUUUAACCCUUAUUUUCUAAGAUCCUUUUGCAAGUCAUUUUGGGAAUUAAAAUAAUUGCGGUUUUGCAACACUGCAUCGGAACACUAAAAAGGACUUAUUUACGUAUUUUUUAAAAUUUAUUUUUAAGCACCCAUUCAUCUUACCUUGAGAGAUUUCACCGAUGGAUAAAAAGUAGAACAACUCGGUCAAUUUGUGAAGAUAGCGCUUUAUCAUGAUAAUUAUUGCAACAGGUAUUUCUGUUAAAUUUGUCAAACAAGGCAUAUUUUUGUAAAGAAAAUCUUAAUCAUUCUUUAGACUUCGAAUUUUUGACUUGGGAUUCUUCAUAAAUAUGGGCCCUUGGGUAUACAUAUUUCACAAAUGAAGUCAUAUUGUAAAAGAGUCCAAUUUGUCAGGGUUGUCUUACAUUAUGACGGCCAAUAAUGUUAAUCUCCAACUUGGGCUUUUUGGUAAAGAUUAACUUAUUUCUGUAGGUUAAGGUUUCAGAUUGAACAUUUUGGUAAUUUUGUUGGUCUGAGUUUGCAGCAUCAUAACCUACCAAGUAAAUUGAUAAAAUGUAGUAAAACGUUGUUUUAAACAGUGAGUCAUGGUACAGUUUGUGCGUUUAGGUAAUUUUUUUUCUUAGAAUGAUCCUGUUAACGGGGUUUUGAUUCUUCAAUCGUAUGGUUAAGCAUGAAGGUUUUUGAAUACAUUUUUGAAUGUGAUUUGUAAAAUGUGUUACUGUGUAGCAUGCUGUUAUUGAGAAUCUUUAACUUUAAUUUGAAGAGGUAAUAAAUUAAAAAAAAAUAUACCCAAUGUGGAAUGCAGCGAAUAUAUGAAGGUUAUCAUGUAUAAAAUAACGUGAUUUGUUUACAAACGGAAGACCAGUUUUAUUGCAUUUAUAAAACUUGGGCAGUGACACGUAACAGUUGUAAUUGGUGGAAAGCAAUGCAUGCUGUUUCUUGGUAACAAAACUGUGAACACAAUUAUGGAAUUAGUUAAUAUCUUGAUAUUAGAUUAAGAUUAGGUAUCGAGUACUCAUAUUUCUCCGUAGUAAGAGUUAUGCUUGUUCUUUGAAUACAUUUUUGAAUGGUGCCUUCAACAAAUAUAAAUUCAGGAUUUUUUAAGUAAUCUUUGCUUUUUAUUUUUUAAGUUGAAAAAUUCAGUAAGUUUGUUCUUUAGGUGCCAAAUAGAAAUGUAACAUUUGGAGUCUUGUCAAAAAGGACUUGAGUUAAAAAAAUUCAAAGCUUAUAUAUUUUCAAAAUGUUUAAUCUUGUGUUUUUUUAUAAAAACAAAAGAAGUCAUUAAAUACAGAAGCCUUUACAGUUUAUUCAAUAUUUAAACAAAAUGUUAGUUUUUUUCUAUCAGAAAAUUUAUUUUGUACGUUAUAUGUAACACACAGUGGGGAAUUUCGUUUUAUAUUGGAAAAUGUAAGCUAACCAAAUUUUCUUUAUUAUAUAUGUUGACCAGUGAUUCUAGUAGCAUAGUGUCAGCCUAUGUUCAUACAUAAACAAUGAGUAAUCCUUUUUCUUCAAUUUGAACAUUUAACGAUUUUCAAGUAGAUUUUAGGCAUUGAUAUCACACACUCUUGUAUAUAUUGACAUUUUAUUGCAUCUUUGAUGAUAAAUAAAUAUUUGUUAUUUUCUA